AGAUAUCUAAAGGUGAUUUUUUUUUUCAACACCCAUUUAAAUGUGUGUGGUAAUGGGGGAAAAACACCUGUACUGUAAAAACAUCAAUGCGAAUGACAUUUAUUAAUGUAUUCUUAGAUCAUAAGGAUCCUUAGAGAACAAAUGGAGAGCCUGAAUAUGACCAGAAAUGAGCUGGGUGUGGAUGACGACACACUGCAGCAAUGGGUGGCCGAUGUGCAGAAAUGGGCUGAAAAAACUGAUCAAACUGAUGGCAGCCUUGGAGCGUUGCAGGCACGACUAGAGGAGCUUGUCGUCAUCAUCAGAGUGCGAACACAAAGUCUUUACAGACAAAAUGAUAGCAACAAGAGGCGACACAGAAUUCGCAAGGUCAUCUUAGUUGAGAAGAAACGCUUGGCGGCUGCUGUUGACGACUACAACAAGCUUGCUGAACCAACAAAGCAAAUCGUAUCCAGUGAUGCCCUCAUCCAGACCGAUAUUUGGCUCUGGCAGAGCACAAGUGAACCUGCUGCUGAACUCCAGACAAAGAGAAAGGUCUUUGAGAAGGUGAUGGCUGUGAGGCGCCUGAGAGAGGAGGAGAUGAUCCUUUGCAGGGAGAUGCUGCAUCACUGGACAGUGUUGCAAAUGCGAUCUGUGGUGUUGGGGACAAUCUCCUCAGACUCCUCCCUUGUUGGCAUGUCAGAGGAUGCACAGAAGGGACUCCGUAGCCUGGUUUAAAAAAACAAAGUGAACUGAAAGCUGAAAUGCUCAAAGUAAAGGACAUGUACAAGAGAAUCCUCAGCCACCAACCACUCCUGGAAAUGGACUCGGAGGAGGAGGAAGACAUUCCAGACGAUGCCACUGAGAGUGAUUUGAGCACUUCUGAUGAAGACUGAUUGUGUCAUCAUUGAUGUUAUUUUUGGUAAAAUAAAAAGUUAAUCACAUCUCUGUUUAAUGUGAUUUUUCAACAGACAUUUUACAUUUUGAGAAGAAAAAUGGAAUUUCCUUGGUGCAGUUGUUUACCCAUAAUCAUGCUUUCCCAUGUAAUUUAAUGACUAGUGUACAUGUUCAG
ensembl:lncRNA